UGGGGGAAUAUUGGGCAAUGGGCGAAAGCCUUACCCAGCAAUGCCGCGUGAGUGAUGAAGGUCUUCGGAUUGUAAAGCUCUUUGAUUAGGGACGAAGAAAAUGACGGUACCCGAGGAGGAAGCCACGGCUAACUACGUGCCAGCAGCCGCGGUAAUACGUAGGUGGCAAGCGUUGUCCGGAAUUACUGGGUGUAAAGGGAGAGUAGGCGGGAUUGCAAGUCCGUUGUUAAAUCUAUCGGCUUAACCGGUAGCUGCGGCGGAAACUGUAGUUCUUGAGUGAAGUAGAGGCAGGCGGAAUUCCUAGUGUAGCGGUGAAAUGCGUAGAUAUUAGGAGGAACACCAGUGGCGAAGGCGGCCUGCUGGG
rnacentral:rRNA from 1 species